GACGAACGCUGGCGGCGUGCUUAACACAUGCAAGUCGAACGGUGAAGCGCCUUCCUUUUUGGUGGGUGUGGAUGAGUGGCGAACGGGUGAGUAACACGUGAGUAACCUGCCCCCUUCUUCUGGAUAACCGCAUGAAAGUGUGGCUAAUACGGGAUAUUCUGGGGCUGUCGCAUGAUGGGUCUGGGAAAGAGAUUGUUUCGGUGGGGGAUGGGCUCGCGGGCUAUCGGCUUGUUGGUGGGGUGAUGGCCUACCAAGGCGGUAACGGGGAGCCGGCCUGAGAGGGUGGACGGUCACAGUGGGACUGAGCCACCGCACGGGCACCUACGGGCGGCAGCGGUGGGGAAGAGUGCACAAAGGGCGCAAGCCUGAUGCAGCGACGCCGGGUGAGGGAGGGAGGCCUUCGGGUUGUGAGCCUCUUUCGGCAGUGAAGCAGGCCUGCCUCGUGUGGGGGUGGGUAGACGGCAGCUGGAUAAGAAGCGCCGGCUAACUACG
rnacentral:rRNA from 1 species